rnacentral:lncRNA from 1 species
CAGAAAGGAAAAAAGCAAGAGUGGAGGUUGUCUCUCCCAUCAAAGUCUACUGAGUGAAUGGUUCAUUUUGGAUCAAUGGCUAAGACGCUAAAAUAAGCCCAGUCUCCCUUUCUCUUGUCAGGAGAUGAAGGACCCAAUAAGGAGAUUGUUUCUUCAUUUCCAAAGACAAGGCCUUUAGUACUGAGCCAGAUAUCACCAGAAACAGCAAAGGAAACAAAACCCAUGUGUAAUCCCACUCCAUACCUAAACUGGAAACCAAAUCGAAGUUACCUUGACAGCAUGGCAGUUUUGGAUAAAAGGAAUGAGGCAAAAAUAAAUAAAUAAAUAAACCAAUGUUGAGGAUGAGACUUCCAGAGGUCGGGAACCACAGAGACUUAGAAGAUAUUGGAGACAGUAAUGCUGAGGAUAAGAAGGCCUCCAGCAUGCUGAGUGGACCCCCUGUGGUGAAUUUAUGGAAGGACAAGGACAAGAGUCCCAGAGGAUGA